rnacentral:tRNA from 1 species
CCCUACGUGGUGCAAACAGAUAAUGUGCUUGGCUGUUAACCAAGAGGUUGGAGGUUUGAGUCCUCCCAGGGGCA